GCGUACAUCGUAUAAUGGCUAUUACCUCAGCCUUCCAAGCUGAUGAUGCGGGUUCGAUUCCCGCUGCACGCUCCA
rnacentral:tRNA from 1 species